AUUGAACGCUGGCGGCAUGCUUUACACAUGCAAGUCGAACGGUAACAGGGUGCUUGCACCGCUGACGAGUGGCGAACGGGUGAGUAAUGCGUCGGAACGUGCCGAGUAGUGGGGGACAACGCAGCGAAAGUUGUGCUAAUACCGCAUACGUACUGAGGUAGAAAGUGGGGGACCUUCGGGCCUCACGCUAUUCGAGCGGCCGACGUCUGAUUAGCUAGUAGGUGAGGUAAAGGCUCACCUAGGCGACGAUCAGUAGCGGGUCUGAGAGGAUGAUCCGCCACACUGGGACUGAGACACGGCCCAGACGCCUACGGGAGGCAGCAGUGGGGAAUUUUGGACAAUGGGCGAAAGCCUGAUCCAGCCAUGCCGCGUGUCUGAAGAAGGCCUUCGGGUUGUAAAGGACUUUUGUCAGGGAGGAAAUCCCUAGUGCUAAUAACACUGGGGGAUGACAGUACCUGAAGAAUAAGCACCGGCUAACUACGUGCCAGCCGCCGCAGUAA
rnacentral:rRNA from 1 species